GUUAUAUACAGGGGGUACCGGUACAGAGUCAAUGUGGAGACUAUAUACAGGGGGUACCGUACAGAGUCAAUGUGGAGGCUAUAUACAGGGGUACUGGUACAGAGUCAAUAGUGAGGCUAUAUACAGGGGGUACCGGUACAGAGUCAAUGUGGAGGCUAUAUACAGGGGGUACCGGUACAGAGUCAAUGUGGAGGUUAUAUACAGGGUGUUACGGUACAGAGUCAAUGUGGAGGCUAUAUACAGGGGGUACCGGUACAGAGUCAAUGUGGAGGCAAUAUACAGGGUGUUACGGUACAGAGUCAAUGUGGAGGCUAUAUACAGGGGGUACCGGUACAGAGUCAAUGUGGAGGUUAUAUACAGGGUGUUACGGUACAGAGUCAAUGUGGAGGCUAUAUACAGGGGGUACUGGUACAGAGUCAAUGUGGAGACUAUAUACAGGGGGUACCGGUACAGAGUCAAUGUGGAGGCUAUAUACAGGGGUACUGGUACAGAGUCAAUGUGGAGGUUAUAUACAGGGGUUACGGUACAGAGUCAAUGUGGAGGCUAUAUACAGGGGGUACCGGUACAGAGUCAAUGUGGAGGCUAUAUACAGGGUGUUACAGUACAGAGUCAAUGUGGAGGUUAUAUACAGGGGUACCGGUACAGAGUCAAUGUGGAGGCUAUAUACAGGGGGGUACCGGUACAGAGUCAAUGUGGAGGCUAUAUACAGGGGUAUAUACAGGGUGUACCGGUACAGAGUCAAUGUGGAGGCUAUAUACAGGGGUACCGGUACAGAGUCAAUGUGGAGGCUAUAUACAGGGUGUUACGGUACAGAGUCAAUGUGGAGACUAUAUACAGGGUGUACUGGUACAGAGUCAAUGUGGAGGCUAUAUACAGGGGGUACUGGGGGCACCGGUUAGUCGAGG
ensembl:lncRNA